rnacentral:rRNA from 1 species
UGGGGAAUAUUGGUCAAUGGGCGAAAGCCUGAACCAGCAAUGCCACGUGAGUGAAGAAGGCCUUCGGGUUGUAAAGCUCUGUCAGCAGGAACGAAAUACUUGGGUGACCAAGGACUGACGGUACCUGCAAAGGAAGCACCGGCUAACUCUGUGCCAGCAGCCGCGGUAAUACAGAGGGUGCAAGCGUUGUUCGGAAUUACUGGGCGUAAAGAGCGUGUAGGCGGUUUGGUAAGUCGGGCGUGAAAUCCCUCAGCUUAACUGAGGACGUGCACCCGAUACUGCCAGACUAGAGUAUCGAAGGGGAUGGCGGAAUUCCCGGUGUAGAGGUGAAAUUCGUAGAUAUCGGGAGGAACACCCGUGGCGAAGGCGGCCAUCUGGAAGAUUACUGACGCUGAGACGCGAAAGCGUGGGGAGCAAACAGG